UACGUAGGGGGCGAGCGUUGUCCGAAGUUACUGGGCGUAAAGAGCGCGUAGGCGGGUCUUUAAGUCAGUGGUGAAAGCCCGGAGCUCAACUUCGGAACUGCCAUUGAUACUGAUAGACUUGAGUACAGAUGAAGUGGGCGGAAUGUGACAAGUAGCGGUGAAAUGCUUAGAUAUGUCACAGAACACCGAUUGCGAAGGCAGCUCACUAAAGUGUAACUGACGCUGAGGCACGAAAGCGUGGGGAUCAAACAGG
rnacentral:rRNA from 1 species